AUCGGAACCAGUCUGAACAUGUGGCUUUUGAAUCUCUCCAACCUGCCUUGGACUCUUGAGGACCAGGUCUUUAGAUGAUGUAAAUCUCCUGAAAUCAGUAGAGUUUAUUUGCAUCAGCUAACUACUCCUACUAGUCUGGAUUAGCAGGCCUGACACUUUUGUCUUCUCCAUUUAUUGUGAUUUUUUAAAUUAUUUGUAUUAUAAAUGUUACAGAAUCUCAUCCCUGCAGUGCAGAGAAGUCUGGCUGCUUGCGUAAUUACCCAUGGCUGUCCCAGAACUCUUGGUUCUCUUAGGAUUUGACCUGCUUGAUCUCCAGGAAAAAAACCCUUGGAAUAUGGCAGAACACAGAUGGCCUCAUAGGACCAGCAGUCAACCAAGAAGGAGAAUGAUGAAUUCUCACUUAGGCUACAGAAGCCUAAGGGAAACUUUAGAGUUAAACAUGGACUUUGCAGUGUGUAGGUGAAACAGCAACAAUUAUUAUGAUUAUUUUUAUAAACCUAACCCUUUGGUUCAUCAUCAACAGGAAAUAAGAAACCAACUUGCUGUAACUUAUUUUAAGAAACAAUGGGUAGUAAGUAUGAAGGAGAACUGGAGUAUGGGUAGGAUGAAGGAGAACUGGAAACCAUACAAACUGUGCUGAUGGGAGGCCUGCCUGCGUGACUGUGAAGACCACAGCCAGUGGAGAUAUGGAACUCUGCUAAAUAAUUGAUUCUGCCUCAGUGUCUGCUCAGCAGUUGGCAGGUAUAAUUUUCUCUAUAGAAAUCUUGCUGCUUUAAAGCCUUCCACCCAUCCUCACCCUGCAAAAAGAGUAUAUUAUAGAGCAAGCUAAAAAUCCUCAUUUUGCUUUGACAUUUGCCUUAGAUGGCAAGCUGUUCCUUUUCAGUUCCUGUAGGAUGUAGCUCUCAGCUGAUAAGUUUUGCUUCCUUUGCAUCUUUAAGAGGCAGAACCCCGGGGUUCACUCACUUUUGGGUUAGGAAUCUGGGCUUUAGCCUCCUACAGCCAUGUUUUCCUACUGUGCCAAGAUUACACAUCUAAGUGUUUUUGGCACCUGAAAGAAACUUCCUUUUAGGAGCCCGUGAUCAGUGACUGAUUAACAACUCAAAACAACUUGUCCAAGAACAAUGUUUUAUUCAUUCAGCCCUGCAGUAUGCAGGGGACAGGGUUAAAACAGCAAAAGUCUAUACACAUCUGGCCUUACCUAAAUUGUAUUAUUUCUGCAAGCUUUAUAAGGUUCCACUCAGUCUAAACAGAUCUCUAUUUCUGGUCUUGCAGAAAAAAGCUGCAAUCUCUGCGAUACCUUGUUUAAGCAGUUGUUAUCUACUCAUCUCUUUGUAAAUAGGUGUUUAGCAGUUUAAUGGCUCCUUUUGAUUUUAGGCCGUAGACCUGGAAAACUAAUCUGUCAACCUAGUCUGAGGAAGAGUGUUUUGUACCUGAAAGCUAGAUUAACAAACCUCCCUACUCAUACUUGGUUUAAUAAAAGAUACGAUCAAGCACA
rnacentral:lncRNA from 1 species